AAACCAUAGUGUGGACAUCGUUUGAGCAAAUCCUUAGAUUGCUUCUAAGCCUCAUAUAAUGACUUAACAUCAAAUUGUGUAAAAGAUGUUAUAUCAUUCCUCAACUU
rnacentral:snoRNA from 1 species